rnacentral:rRNA from 1 species
GACGAACGCUGGCGGCGUGCUUAACACAUGCAAGUCGUACGGUAAGGCCCUUUCGGGGGUACACGAGUGGCGAACGGGUGAGUAACACGUGCGUAACCUUCCCACAACUUUGGGAUAACGCUAGGAAACUGGUGCUAAUACUGGAUAUGUGCUCCUGCUGCAUGGUGGGGGUUGGAAAGCUCCGGGGGUUGUGGAUGGACUCGCGGCCUAUCAGCUUGUUGGUGGGGUAGUGGCCUACCAAGGCGGCGACGGGUAGCCGGACUGAGAGGGUGACCGGCCACAUUGGGACUGAGAGACGGCCCAGACUCCUACGCGAGGCAGCAGUGGGGAAUAUUGCACAAGGGGCGCAAGCCUGAUGCAGCAACGCCGCGUGCGGGAUGACGGCCUUCGGGUUGUAAACCGCAUUCGGCAGGGACGAAGCUUUUUGUGACGGUACCUGCAGAAGAAGCACCGGCUAACUACGUG